GAGUGAAGAGGGAAGAGCUCAUCAUUGGAAUCUGGCAGCGUUGCGCUGUCCGAGUUGUAGAUGAGAAGAGUAGGACAUCUGGACUGCAUGGUGUCCAAGUACAAUAGGCCGUCAGUGGGACAUCAUAGAGGGUGACAAUCCCGUCCUUGACACCAAUGUACGAGUCCUUUACGAUGCCUAUCUCGGAGAGUCGAGCAGUUUGGGAUUUGCUGCUUAAACACGGGAGGUAGAUUCCUUCCAAAGCUAAAUACAGGCAAGAGACCGAUAGUGAACAAGUACCGCAAGGGAAAGAUGAAAUAGAACUCUGUGAAGGGAGUCAAAAAGACGUGAAAUUGUUGCGAGAGAAGCGAUUCAAGUCAGCGUAGCUGGGCCCAUCAAGCCUCGCGCUUUGGACCAGCUUUGCCAGCGGUCUUGUCCCUAGAGACUUGACUAAGGUGCCCUGCCCGGUCUAACGGACAGACCUCCCCUCCGGGGAGGCCAGUGGCAUGGCUGGUGGAAUGGCUUGCAAUCGACCCGUCUUGAAACACGGACCAAGGAGUCUAACAUGUACGCGAGUAUAAGGGUGGCAAACCCGUAUGCGCAAAGAAAGUGAUAGCCUAUGGCUGAGAAUGACCUGACGACCUGACAAGAAAUAUCAUGUCCCUCGUACGGUCAUUGCCCAAGUCCCAUGGUCAGAUCCCAUGGACAUGGAGUUGGAGCGUGCAUGCUAGGACCCGAAAGAUGGUGAACUAUGCCUGGACAAAGCGAAGCCAAAGGAAACUCUGGUGGAGGCUUGUAGCGAUUCUGACGUGCAAAUCGAUCGUCUGAUCUG
rnacentral:rRNA from 1 species